rnacentral:rRNA from 1 species
UACGUAGGGGGCAAGCGUUGUCCGGAAUCAUUGGGCGUAAAGCGCGUGUAGGCGGUCCGGUAAGUCCGCUGUGAAAGUCGGGGGCUUAACCCUCGGAUGCCGGUGGAUACUGUCGGGCUUGAGUACGGAAGAGGCGAGUGGAAUUCCUGGUGUAGCGGUGAAAUGCGCAGAUAUCGGGAAGAACACCCGUGGCGAAGGCGGCUCUCUGGGACGGUACUGACGCUGAGACGCGAAAGCGUGGGGAGCGAACAGG